AACGAACGCUGGCGGAAUGCUUUACACAUGCAAGUCGAACGGCAGCACGGGGGCAACCCUGGUGGCGAGUGGCGAACGGGUGAGUAAUACAUCGGAACGUGCCCAGUCGUGGGGGAUAACGUAGCGAAAGUUACGCUAAUACCGCAUACGAUCUACGGAUGAAAGCGGGGGACCGUAAGGCCUCGCGCGAUUGGAGCGGCCGAUGUCAGAUUAGGUAGUUGGUGAGGUAAAGGCUCACCAAGCCGACGAUCUGUAGCUGGUCUGAGAGGACGACCAGCCAGACUGGGACUGAGACACGGCCCAGACUCCUACGGGAGGCAGCAGUGGGGAAUUUUGGACAAUGGGCGCAAGCCUGAUCCAGCCAUUCCGCGUGCAGGACGAAGGCCUUCGGGUUGCAAACUGCUUUUGUACGGAACGAAAAGGCUCUGGUUAAUACCUGGGGCCCAUGACGGUACCGUAAGAAUAAGCACCGGCUAACUACGUGCCAGCCGCCGCCGUAA
rnacentral:rRNA from 1 species